CCUACGGGAGGCAGCAGUGAGGAAUAUUGGUCAAUGGCCGGAAGGCUGAACCAGCCAUGCCGCGUGAAGGUCAGUGCCCUAUGGGCGUUAAACUUCUUUUGUGCGGGAGCAAUAAUGGUCACGUGUGGCCAGACGAGAGUACCGUACGAAUAAGCCUCGGCUAACUCCGUGCCAGCAGCCGCGGUGAUACGGGGGAUGCAAGCGUUAUCCGGGUUUAUUUGGUUUAAAGGGUGCGUAGGCUGGGAGGUAAGUCAGAGGUGAAAUGCCCCCGCUCAACGGGGUGAAGUGCCAUUGAUACUGGCUUGCUGGAAUGCGGAUGACGUGGGAGGAAUGUGUGGUGUAGCGGUGAAAUGCAUAGAUAUCACACAGAACACCGAUUGCGAAGGUAUCUCACGAAUCCGCGAUUGACGCUGAUGCACGAAAGCGUGGGUAUCAAACAGGAUUAGAUACCCCUGUAGUC
rnacentral:rRNA from 1 species